UACGUAGGGCGCAAGCGUUGUCCGGAAUUAUUGGGCGUAAAGAGCUCGUAGGCGGUUUGUCGCGUCUGCUGUGAAAACUGGGGGCUCAACCCCCAGCCUGCAGUGGGUACGGGCAGACUAGAGUGCGGUAGGGGAGAUUGGAAUUCCUGGUGUAGCGGUGAAAUGCGUAGAUAUCUGGAGGAACACCGGUGGCGAAGGCGGCAUCCUGGACCGGUAUUGACGCUGAUGCGCGAAAGCCAGGGGAGCAAACGGG
rnacentral:rRNA from 1 species